CAGGAAAACCAGGCAAUCGCCUGCCGCAAGGCAGGAGGAAAGUCCGAACACCUCCGUCGCAAGAUGGGGCAAGGGUAAUCGGUAACACCGACCGGUGUAAGAAGCGCACGAGGGGUCUCUCGAGAACUUUCGUACGCAGAAAAGACCAGGGCACGUGCAACAGAAAGUAUACCGCCGAUGGCCGUAAGGCACAGGCAAGGUUGAAAUCGUGGGGUAAGAGCCCACGCGUUCGCAUAGUGAUAUGCGAAAAGAGGUAAACCCUACCCGGUGAAAGGGCACAUACAUGGUAGCCCGUUAGAGCUCGCGGGCAAUCGCGAGACUAGAUAGAUGAUUGCCGCCUAUCGCAAGAUGGGACACAAAAUUCGGCUUAUCGGUUUUCCUGUCCU
rnacentral:RNase_P_RNA from 1 species